GAGAAGGUGCUCAUCAGAGGCAGCGAUGGCGGAUUUAUUUGCAUGGCUAGCUUCCUUCUCUCUCGUCAUAGGUAUAAUCGGUGCUGUACUUUUCCAGCUAAUGUGCUUGGCCGACCUUGAGUUUGAUUAUAUCAACCCAUAUGAUACAGCAUCCCGAGUAAAUAAGGCUGUUUUGCCAGAGUUUAUUGCAGAAGGAGUUUUGUGCCUUCUCCUUCUUAUUACAGGGCAUUGGGCUAUGUGUUUGCUCGGCCUUCCAUAUGCAUAUUACAAUGUAACAAUAUACACUCGGCGGCAACACUUUCUGGAUGUAACUGAGAUUUUUAACCAGCUUCAUUGGGAGAAGAAGGUGAGAUUUAUCAAGAUUGGUUACCUGAUCAUCUUUCUGGCAUUGACGAUAUUCUGGAUGAUUUGGAGCAUUGUGGAUGAAUGAUCAGUGUGAAUUUGAUGCUGCCAUUAAUUAUACAUUCUCAAAAGAAGGCGAUCGAGGUGGCAUGAAGAUGGCAUCCGGUUUGCAAAUUUGUCUCCAAAAUCGACAUCAAUGGAGUUAUUAUACUCACAUAGGCUUGUUCCAUGCCAUUCAAGUUAUAGUAAUGGAAGUUUGACAUUUAAAAAAUAUUUUCUAAAAGUCUUCCUUGUUGAAUUUUGGUGUCUUUGGUUGAGUAAAAUAUGUCCUUGAUUGAUCUGAUGCAUCAGUAGUAAUAUUUUUAUGGUAGCUUGCAACAUUA